rnacentral:rRNA from 1 species
CCUACGGGAGGCAGCAGUGAGGAAUAUUGGUCAAUGGACGCAAGCCUGAACCAGCCAAGUAGCGUGCAGGAUGACGGCCCUCCGGGUUGUAAACUGCUUUUAGUUGGGAAUAAAAGGGGGCUCGUGAGCCCCGUAUCGUAUGUACCAUCAGAAAAAGGACCGGCUAAUUCCGGGCCAGCAGCCGCGGUAAUACGGAAGGUCCGGGCGUUAUCCGGAUUUAUUGGGUUUAAAGGGAGCGUAGGUGGAUUGUUAAGUCAGUUGUGAAAGUUUGCGGCUCAACCGUAAAAUUGCAGUUGAAACUGGCAGUCUUGAGUACAGUAGAGGUGGGCGGAAUUCGUGGUGUAGCGGUGAAAUGCUUAGAUAUCACGAAGAACUCCGAUUGCGAAGGCAGUUCACUGGAGUGCAACUGACGCUGAGGCUCGAAAGUGUGGGUAUCAAACAGGAUUAGAUACCCCAGUAGUC